GGAGGAAUACCCAAGUCCGGCUGAAGGGAUCGGUCUUGAAAACCGACAGGAGUGUAAAAGCUCGCAGGGGUUCGAAUCCCCUUUCCUCCU
rnacentral:tRNA from 1 species